rnacentral:lncRNA from 1 species
UUUGUGGCAGAUCUCUGGAAUGGACAAGGAAGGUAUCUUCGAUCGAAGCUGUGGGAGGAGCUUUGGACUUGGCUAAGAGCCAGAGCCCUGUAGAGGGAGCGCCAGAGAGCCACUGCGAAGACCCCAGGGGACCAGGAUGCAGCUAAGUCACCUGGAUGCGGAGAAGCUUCUGGGUCCCCACUCUACCUCGCAUCUCUUCUAGAAGGUGCCAGCUGGUGGCUAUGCUUGCACUGGAGCCUUUGCAUAGCCUACGUGGCUGUCAGUGAGGCCACAGGGCCAUUGCAGGCAAUAGUCCAGCUGCACCCCAAGAGAUAGCCUAGAACCAAAGCAUUUCCCACAGCAUUCCUAGAAACUACUUAUGCGUGUCACUCAGAAAACCCAAAUCCUAUCAUUUCUUAGAUGUCAGCUGUGCAGAUACGUCUCUCAACGUUAGAUUGUCUGUUGGAAAAUAUAACUGGAUACCAGAAGUGUCAGAAACCUGGUUCAUACCACUCUUCACAAGGGGAGGCCUGCAAAAACACAGGCAGGAAGGAAUCACCCACUGCUGCAGCCAUGGGCCUGUCAGGCUCGCUCUUAAUUCCUGCCCAGGGCUUGCUCUCUAAAGCCGUGCUGGCUCUGCCUCCAUUUCCCACUUCAUCCAGAGCAAACAUGGCUUCCCGUGCUUGUCCUGGUACCACGAUGCCAUAGCGUCCCCUCA